ensembl:lncRNA
CGUUAGACAAACAGCUGUUUGUUUACUUUGAAUGGCAGCGUGCGAUUGGUUUCCUGCUGUCGGGGAGGAUGUCCUGAAGUCUCCAAACACGUCCUUUGAAGCAGUCUUUCUCUGUGAUCGCCUUCAGAAUCGCCUGUACGGACUCUGAGGACUCCAUAAAGUUCAGAGGAAACGCAGGAACAGUUCGAUGCACUUCUGCUUUAUGUUCCCGACUUCCUUUAACUUCCUGCUCACGCCAGGGUCGAAUGUUCGAAGCCGUUCUGUUCAUCCUCCUCGAUACCUUCUGCUCCUUUGAAACGACCUCUGGCGACCUUGUUAUUAUUCGUCUUUUGUUGGAUUUCUUAAGGAAUAAGUUCAUAAAACCUUUGAGAUGGUCUGAUGAAAUCAUCGCAUCACUUCCUGUUUCUCAGAGAGGAUGUUUCUGAAUCACACACAACAAAAAGCAAAUGACAAUCUGCAGAAAGGUGGAAUUUGCUCUCUGUUUGGUUUCCAUUCCUGCUGUCGGCACAGCCGGACAGAUCGGGAGAAUGAUCCCAGUGUUUUAGCCAUACACCGCCGCCGCCGCCUCCUUCUCCGCUCGUUGUUAACGUCUCCACGGUCGAGUACAUAGCAGAUGCGUUUCUAUCCAGUUUCUAUUUUUUAGUAUGACGUGAUUCUUCUUCUGAUUUCUAUAUUUUGUAGUGUGAUUAAAGUGGUCUUUUUAUAUUCCAGCAGUUUCUACCACACAUUCCAAACGUGCACGUCAGCAGACGGGCCCCGGCCGGCGCCGCCGCGGAUGCUGAGCUCAUCUUAGCUGUCCUCCACAGCUGCUCUGUUUUUAAAGGUCGUGUUGAGACAGAGGUGGUCAGUGUGUCACAAAGAUCACGGCGUCUCGUCGACCUCUCGGGCCUCAGAGACUCUGGAGGUGGAGUCGAUCAGUUUACGUCACAUUUAGCGCCUUCUGUCUUCAUGUCCACCUGUUUUAACUCCUUAAAAGGAAAAACCAUCAGUCGCAGCCUGCUGUGAUGACGGUGAGUCAGCAUGGAGAGCCCACCUGUGUCCACAGGUAACAGAAGCCUCCUGUCAGCCCCUCUGAAGGAUGUUGAGGGGUCAUCUUAAGGUUCAGGGUCAGGGUCUUCCUGCUGCUGUCACCUUUAGAUCACUCAAAGGAGGUGCCAACCGCUCUUAGCACGGAGGAAGACGUGGCGAGGAGGAGGAGAGCUCGACCCACAGUCUGAGCGGUUUCCUCUGAACCGUCUGCCUCAGACGAUCGGUCCUCAGGGACGAAUUUAAAGGGGCGUGACCUCACGAUGGGAUCGUGCUCCUGGUCGUUCCUCACCCUCAGAAGCGAGGGUCAGCAGUCUGUGUAGAAGCAGGAACCACGACUCCAGCUGGUUCCUCUCAGUUUGUUUCCUUUUGGCUCAAAGACUCGAGUUUGAUGAAGCGUGGAAACGCGCGCUUCACUCAUUAAAUCUGGCUGUCAUGGCGGCAGGUUUCUAACAGAUGCAGACAUGAACAUCAAAGUGCAGGAUGUAUUGUUUGUGUCUUGAAUCACAUGUUGCUGUGGAGGACGGCGUCUGUAGUCGCGAUACCAGUCAGGUCCCAUCGAAUCAGAAUCUAAGCUCAAAACACGUCUUUAAGAAAAAAAGAAAGAAGGCAGACGGCGUUAUGGAGCGUUUUUAUUUUUCUAUCUGUACGGCUUCUGUCAGAAUAUAAAGACGGCGUCCGGGCCGCUCGGUUUCCUGGUUUUCAGUUAGUGCUUUUCUCUUUCCUUCCCGUCUUUGGCUGACUUCUUUGUGCCGGACUCGUGACUGUCUCGACGUCCUCUGCCGGGCCUUCGUACCUUCAGUAAUACCAAUGUGAAACCUGUAACUCUCCUCAUGGUUCGACUCAGUGGAAGUGUGAUGUUUACAUGUACAGAUUUUUGCGAUUUUUCUUUUCUGGUUCUGUCUGUUUUCAUCUUCAUGCCUCUCUUUUCCACUCCUGAGUUCCUCUCGCUCCUUCCUCACACAGGGAAAUGGGGCUGAGACUAAAUAUGAUUAUCCACCUUUUACACUCUGCCCUUUCCCACUGUGGAGGCCUGAGAGUGCCAAAAGUACUAAUGGCCUUUAAAUGCAUCAACUAAGAAAUUAAUCUGAACUGUAAUUCUCCUCUUUAUUUCCUGUUUCAUGUUGUAAAUAAGGAAAUAAAGUGCAAAAUGAAUGCAUGAAUAAAUGAAUGUAAUUGGCACGCAGGUACCCGUGCAGCAGCCAUGUUUGGACCUGACCUAAGGCUCAUUUACAGCUCAGUAGUGCACAGUUUGGUCUAGUUUUUAGAAGACGGCGAUUUCCUGCAGGAGAGGUGGUGAGCCUGGCCCAGAUGUGGUCCAGAUGUUGGCACAGUCACUGAAGCCGGGUCAAAGCCAGACGGGGUAAAUCUGUACAAAGGUGAAUAUGGACAGAAAUGUUUGGGUUGAUGCAUUUAAUUUUCUGUUAAAGUGUUGGAGCUGUUCAGUCACUUUGGCAGUUUCAGUCCUCCGUAGGGUCUGGGGGAUCGGGUACUUCCUGUUAGCAUCAUUAGCGUUGAGUCAAAUCUGUCACGCUAACGUGCUCGGUGAAGAAAGUCGAGGCGUUCCCGGGCGGCCUUCUGGGUGUGGGAGGGAGGAGUUGUGCGAUUGUUCGGCUCUGGAGGGGUGGGUUGCGGUUGACCCCCGACCUCUCGGCUGACUCCACGGCACACAGGAUCCCAGCGGGGCCACGGCGACCCUCCGUGAUCCGUGGGACACGAUUCCUCAGUGAAUGAAAAGCCAUUUCGGGCCCCGGGCGUCGGGUCUUUAGUCUGUGAGUGUAUUUAGCGAAACUUAAGCUGCGGACGGCGAAACUCAACCUCAGGAACAGAAAAAAGGACAUGACUUUUAUAAAAGCAGCUGAAGGCCCAUUUCCCUCUCUUUGAUACCAUAUAAAUUAUAUCAAAUCAAUUCUUUUUAUAUUUAUUGUGUUUAUUAUUCUUCUAUAUAACAGUGGAUACCUUUUGCAGUACCUGUGGCUGAAUAUUUUGAUUCUUUAGAAAAGUGUUGAUAAUAUAUGUGAAAAAGAAAAGAAGAAAUCUGGGUUCUUAUUCUUUCUGUUGAUGACUACAUAUCACUCUGGUCCAUGACGAAGAAACCAAUGAUUAUACAGACUGAGCUUUCUUUGUGUGAUGUCACUGCUAAGGCUGAAAUGUUUCUGGACUUUGUGACCGUUCAGUUUGUUUUUGGUUUGUUUCCUCCCGAGCUGUACAUCACAAAGCUAAAUAUACUAAUAAAAACUGUGUGCUAUCUAUCAGA